rnacentral:rRNA from 1 species
UCAGUAUCAAAUGCACUGCCAUGGUUGAGCCCCGGGAUUUCACCUCUGACUUAUUAGGCCGCCUGCGCGCCCUUUAAACCCAAUAAUUCCGAAUAACGCUCGGAUCCUCCGUAUUACCGCGGCUGCUGGCACGGAGUUAGCCGAUGCUUAUUCUUCCAGUACAUUCACAUAGAUACACGUAUCU